GAUGAACGCUAGCUACAGGCUUAACACAUGCAAGUCGAGGGACCGGCGCACGGGUGAGUAACACGUAUCCAACCUGCCCUUUACUCGGGGAUAGCCUUUCGAAAGAAAGAUUAAUACCCGAUGUAAAGGAUGGGGAUGCGGUCCAUUAGGUUGUUGGUGAGGUAACGACCCACCAAGCCUUCGAUGGAUAGGGGUUCUGAGAGGAAGGUCCCCUACAGUGGAACUGCGACACGGUCCAAACUCCUACGGGAGGUAGCGGGGAGGAAUAUUGGUCAAUGGGCGUUAGCCUGAACCCGUCAAGUAUCGUGAAGGAUGAAGGCUUAUGGGUCGUAAACUUCUUUUAUAUAAGAAUAUGUAUUAUAUGAAUAAGGAUCGGCUAACUCCGUGCCAGCCGCCGCGGUAAUUC
rnacentral:rRNA from 1 species